UAGUGGGAGACAAAAAGACUUAAGACUGACUUAACACUAACACACAAACAGACAUUAAGAAGAGCAACCUACUCCACAAUUGAAAUGAUAUGUAUAUAGUUGCAGAAUUCACAGAGUCCAAGACUGUAAAUAUUAUAUCAGACUCGUGGUUUGAAGAUGGUGUGACUUUGUGGCCAAACUAUAAAAGCGAUGAACGCAUCAACAGAGCUGUUCGAAAACAUGAGGUGCCAGGAUCAGACUGGAAAAUGUAUGACGUUCGAGUCCUCUCAAGAGCUGGUGAUUAUCAAAAAGCCAGAGAAAAGCUGAGGGCUUCGCUGACCUGUAAUACAUCGGAGUUACAUACAGAUGGCGAACAAGAAGUAGUAGUAGCUAGGAAAAGAAAAAUUAAGCCAAGGCUCAUCUUUGGUGAUACCGACUCUGAAAGUGAGCCAGAGGAGAGGAACAAUACAAGACCCACUUAUCUCUCCCUCACUCCAGCACCACCUAUUGCUCCACCGACUCCUAACUUCUCAGCAAGACCUCUGCCAGAUCCGAAUCAUGCUGAACUUCUUCAUUCCACUGCGGCUGCACCACUUGUUCCCGUCCCUCCACCUUGCAUGCCUUCAAGUCCUCCAUGCCAGAUUUCUGCUGGACCUCUGCCUGAUCUGAGGCAAUGUGAUCGUGGUAGUUACACAGCUCCAGUGGCACUUGUUCCUACCCCUACGUCUCGCAUGCCCUCAAGUCCUAGGCGCCGGAUCACUGCCACUCUCACAAAUGACUAUCAAGGCCAUUGUUUUGUCCCCACUUUUAGACUGGGGAGGACUGGCACUGGACCUGUUCCUUGCUCUGCGGCUGAGCUGCACAUUCUUACUUUGCUGGAACAUAUCAAGGAGCAGCAAAUGCAGCUGGCUGCUGCUGUAAAUAACAUUGCUGCAAGAAUGGGGACGGAAACUCCUAUGGCUGAGAUGCCUCAAAAUGUCAGUGUUCCGCUGGCCACCAUGUCUGAAGUGGAGGAGUUUGAGGAGUGGCUUAAAGAUGCAAGAAACUCGCAUGCUAAGCAAAACAUGAUUUCGGCUCUAGGUGCUGUAGGAGGACAGAACUCCAAAAGAGUAACUUGGAAUAUACUUUCAAGGAUUUUCUCAAACACAGUGGCCAAACAGAUUAAUUGGAAAGGAGUAAACGCAAAGGCAUGCAGGCUAGGUUAAUUGGUGUCCCUAAAUUGUCCUUAGAUGUGAGUGUGUGUGGUUGUUCGUCUAUGUGUGGCCCUGCGAUGGACUGGCAACCUGUCCAGGGUGUACCCCGCCUUUCACCCAACGUAAACUGGGAUUGGCUCCAGCCCCCUGCGACCCUGUACGCAAGAUAAGUGGUUGACGAUGGAUGGAUGGAUUUUUAGAUAUAAGGGAUGCAACUUUAAAGCUUUAAUAGAUUGCAGUCAUGACAGCACCGGUUACUCACAUAAUCACGUAAUGCUUUACUUGGAGUUGAAUUGAGAGCUUUUAGUUUGAAAAUUUCUGAACGACAUUAAAAAAGCCUGCUUGACACACCUCUGAAAGAGCUGUCAGAAAACGUGAUUCCCCUAAAUGUCCUCUGCCUGGAGAUACUGGGGAAAUGUUGAGGGGUUCCUCUCCUUCGGCCAUCCUACACAGGCCACUGACUACUGCACCAAACAGAGGGGGAGGGCCGUGUUACUCUCUACGCUGCGGGAUUCCUGUACUUUACAUCUUUGGCAGAUUAAUAACAUAGCAACAGUAAAAAUUGUGGUUUUGUAACCUUUACUUUUUCAUACCGUGGGAAACCUUGAAACCGGUACCCGCCAAUGCCUAUCCAUGACCUGAUACAGAAUCCACACAGAUAAAUUUAGAAUGAUAAGAUGCACUGAGAUUUAAGGAUGAUCCAAUACAAUCUAGAUGUGAUUAGUUAUUCAUUUGUUUUGAGUUACUAAAUGAAAGGCUACAGAAAAUUAGGUCUACUGCCACACCAACAAUAGUAAUCAUGGGCAACAUCUAAAGCAUUUCUCAAAACAGUGGGUUAUUGGCUUGACUUAGAGGUAAUUUUCAGAAUUUCUGUUAAUGACGGCUCAUCAACCAAUUGACUUUCUCUCUUAACAGAGGCUGUACGGAAGAACCAAGCUGCUAGCAGUGCAUCGGACAACAAGAUUAACCAGCACGCCAUCCGCUGGUUCAACCUGGCCUCUGACCGUGGAGGUGGCCGCAAAGAACGUGCCAUGGCCAGAGAGGCCAUUCAUUAACCGUGAAAUGAACGCAUCGGCCAUCCCCCACUCUUCCACCACUGAUGAUUUUUUUGGUGUUAUGUGAGUUUCUUAUUCCUACAGUUGUUAAAGACAAAUGAGUUGUAAAAUGUGUUUCUGUCCUGUCUUUUUA